UACGUAGGGGGCAAGCGUUGUCCGGAAUUAUUGGGCGUAAAGAGCUCGUAGGCGGUCUGUUGCGUCCGCUGUGAAAACUCGGGGCUUAACCCCGAGCCUGCAGUGGAUACGGGCAGACUUGAGUUCGGUAGGGGAGACUGGAAUUCCUGGUGUAGCGGUGAAAUGCGCAGAUAUCGGGAGGAACACCAGUGGCGAAGGCGGUUACCUGGAGCUUUGCUGACGCUGAUGCGCGAAAGCGUGGGGAGCGAUCCGG
rnacentral:rRNA from 1 species